rnacentral:rRNA from 1 species
CUGGCUCAGGAUGAACGCUAGCGACAGGCCUAACACAUGCAAGUCGAGGGCAGCACAAGGAGCAAUCUGAGGUGGCGACCGGCGCACGGGUGAGUAACACGUAUGCAACCUGCCUGUAAGCGGGGAAUAACCCGUUGAAAGACGGACUAAUACCGCAUAAUACUAAAUUACUGCAUGGUAAUUUAUUUAAACAUUUAUGGCUUACAGAUGGGCAUGCGCAUGAUUAGCUAGUUGGAGAGGUAACGGCUCCCCAAGGCAACGAUCAUUAGGGGUUCUGAGAGGAAGGUCCCCCCACACUGGUACUGAGACACGGACCAGACUCCUACGGGAGGCAGCAGUGAGGAAUAUUGGUCAAUGGACGAGAGUCUGAACCAGCCAAGUCGCGUGCAGGAAGAAUGUCCUAUGGAUUGUAAACUGCUUUUGCAGGGGAAUAAAGGUGCAUCACGUGUGAUGUUUUGUAUGUACUCUGCGAAUAAGGAUCGGCUAACUCCGUGCCAGCCGCCGC